rnacentral:rRNA from 1 species
UACAGAGGUCUCAAGCGUUGUUCGGAUUCAUUGGGCGUAAAGGGUGCGUAGGCGGCGCGGUAAGUCGGGUGUGAAAUCUCGGAGCUUAACUCCGAAACUGCAUUCGAUACUGCCGUGCUUGAGGACUGGAGGGGAGACUGGAAUUUACGGUGUAGCGGUGAAAUGCGUAGAUAUCGUAAGGAAGACCAGUGGCGAAGGCGGGUCUCUGGACAGUUCCUGAC